GGCUUGUUGGUCUAGGGGUAUGAUUCUCGCUUAGGCUGCGAGAGGUCCUGGGUUCAAAUCCCGGAUGAGCCC
rfam:Danio rerio chromosome 8, GRCz11 reference primary assembly.